rnacentral:tRNA from 1 species
AGGCGUUUAGAUCAGCUGGUUCAGAACAUCUGCCUUACAAGCAGAGGGGUUGGCGGUUCGAAUCCGUCAACGCCCA